rnacentral:lncRNA from 1 species
CUAAUCUGUCAAGAGAGAACAGUGCAACAAUUAAAAAAAUUAUGGACUAAUUUGAAGCAAACUCAAAGGGAAGUUUUAACUAAAAAAAAGCAAUCACGCGACUAGCAACUAGUGGAAGACCAGAAGAUAUAGAGGCAAGUGUGGACCCCGAUAUUCUUAAUAUUGCACCGCAUCUUAUGGAAAAUGCACCAGUGCUGUUCUCAUCAAACAUGACAGAAACUGAAAUUAAAGAAAAACGCGAGUUGGUAUUUAACAUAUCUGCAAAUGAAAAUGUAGAUAUUGUUGCGAACGUGAGCUUCGCGAGCGUGAGCUUUGCGCGCGUUGUGAGCGCAAGCUUAACGCGAAAAAUCAAUAUAUCGAUUGCUUCAGUCAGCUGAGUCUAUCGGCCCCGGCGUUGCUUAAUUAUGUAUAAACAAAUGGUUUUGUUUAGAACUUCCUGAGACGUCAACUCGUGCGGACGUGCUUGGAAUAGUUGUAAUCGUGUUCGCAGCUUUUAAUAAAGUUUCUCGUUUGCCAAAAGCGUGUUUUUAUUCCGCCGCGCUCGCGAGCGGAAGAGUGUGUGUUGGUGGAAAUGCGAGAGUGCUUCGGGAAGCGCAACAAUAUGUUAAACUGUUUGGCAAAUGAUGACAACGAUAUAAUUGUUGAUUUACAAGAUAAACACAAGUUUGCAGAUAUAAUAUCUACUAAUGAAAAUUUAAAAAGAGUAGUGCAAACGAGCAUUUGAUUAAUGAUGAGAGCGAUAUAAAAAUUGCUGAUUUACAAGAUACACCAACUUUGAAAACAUCAGAAACAGUCUACUCCAGAUUUACAACGAAAAAAGAGGAAAUGCAUAAAGCAAGACUUAUCGGAUACAGAAGAAAACUUAAGAAUUCAACGUAUUAAACUAGUGAUGGAGCAAGAGCAGCAUUUAGCGAUUGCCAAGUUAAGACAUAAAGAAAAUAUGGUCAAAAUUAAAGAAAAUCAUUUAAAACAAUUAAAUGAAAUUGAAAUACAUCAUAAAAACGAUAUAAAUAAAUUAGAAACAGAAAUUAAUCAAACUAAACUGAUAAUUUUAGAAAAACAAUAUUUAAACAAAGAAAAUAUUAAUUUAAGAUUGUAAGAUAUGAUAAGAGAUGCAUGUCGAUAAAAUUCAGCAAGAAUUAUACAUGUUGGAUACAUGGAUAUAUUUUUUUACAUUUUUAUGGUGUAUUUCAAUUUUAUUCAAUUGUUUUAAAUGAUGUAAUAAAAUAUAUAUGUUGGCAUAAAUAAAAGCAAAACUAAGUUUUGUGUGAUGUUAUCGUGCAAUGUUUUAUUUCAUAAAAAAAUUGAUUUUAAACAAUAUAACAUAAUACUUUAAAUAUAUAUAAACUAUGUUUCUAAUGAUAUUCUAUAAUUAAUGUUAACUUCAAUGAUGUUUCUAUUAUUUAUGUCCCAAUAAAUACGUUUUAUAAGUAACAAUUUGUCGCAAAAUUAACACAUUAUUUUUAUGAAAUAUGUAGCAAGUAUUGAAACAAAUAAAAGAAAUGUAAUAUGAA